CUUACUCACAGGCUAACACUAAAUUGUAGUGUAUUCAUACCCACGUCUCAUAUGUUCCUGUCUGUCUGUCUGUCUGUCUGUCUGUCUGUCUGUCUGUCUGUCAGGUUUGCAGGAGCAGCAGAGUGAGUUACCCAGCCGUCGACAGGACUCUUUGAAGACUGGAGACCAACUGAGUCCUUCCCUGACCUUCAACGACCCUCUCUGGCCCAUGCAGUGGGAACUGUUCAACCAUGGCCAAUACAGCUCCAGUCACUUUGACCUGAACGUGAUGCCAGUGUGGAGCAGGAACAUCACAGGGAACGGAGUGGUGGUCAGCAUCAUCGAUGACGGUAAAGUCAAGACCAAUACAAUACAAGACAGGGCCACGUUAAGCAGCGCACGAUGUUACAGAUAGAAGUGAAUAACAUAGAACAAACAUUCCUCUCUUACACAGCCAUUGCCUACUGAACGUGGCUCAGCCAUGCAAGGCAGAGACAAGAGCAUUUUGUUUUCUGUAUUAAUGAACAUCAUUAUUUAUUUGUUUUGUAUUCUAAUCUCCU
rnacentral:lncRNA from 13 species